rnacentral:rRNA from 1 species
UAGGGAAUCUUCGGCAAUGGACGAAAGUCUGACCGAGCAACGCCGCGUGAGUGAAGAAGGUUUUCGGAUCGUAAAACUCUGUUGUUAGAGAAGAACAAGGACGUUAGUAACUGAACGUCCCCUGACGGUAUCUAACCAGAAAGCCACGGCUAACUACGUGCCAGCAGCCGCGGUAAUACGUAGGUGGCAAGCGUUGUCCGGAGUUAUUGGGCGUAAAGCGAGCGCAGGCGGUUUCUUAAGUCUGAUGUGAAAGCCCCCGGCUCAACCGGGGAGGGUCAUUAGAAACAGGGAGACUUGAGUGCAGAAGAAGAGAGUGGAAAUCCAUGUGUAGAGGUGAAAUGCGUAGAUAUAUGGAGGAACACCAGUGGCGAAGGCGGCUCUCUGGUCUGUAACUGACGCUGAGGCUCGAAAGCGUGGGGAGCAAACAGG